GGAUCACCUGUUCCCCAUUGCACAGUUAAUACCACAAGGAAUUGAAGUCUCAUUUCCUGGAAAUCCAGGGCUGGACGGCAUCCAUCCUUCAAAUGAGCCCCUAGAGAGAAGACGUGGAGACCGAACUCCCAACUCAGGUUUCCGGGGGAUGCGUAUUAGACCCCCGGCCUGGAAGCUGAGGUCACGGAUUACUUUCUCAUUGCCGUCAAGGUUCUAGAGACCAGGCGACCAGGACGGAAGACGUUUGGAGCACGUGAAGACCAUGCUGUGCGCAGAGACGUCACUUCCCGCAGGACACCAGUGGCAGUUGUCGGGGCUGGGACUUGCCUUCCUGUGGCUUUAUGAGACCCCAGCAUCACAAUGAGGAUUAGAAUUCAUGGUUACAAGCGAGACAACAUCCAGGACUCUUAGAAAGAAUCUGUGAGUUGAGGAAGGGACUGAAGCCCUUUGUGAAGAG
rnacentral:lncRNA from 1 species